UACGAGAGGCCCAAACGUUAUUCGGAAUUACUGGGCUUAAAGAGUUCGUAGGCGGCGCAGAAAGUAGGGUGUGAAAGCCCUCGGCUUAACCGAGGAAUUGCGCUCUAAACUACUGUGCUUGAGGAAGCUAGAGGUGAGCGGAACUGAUGGUGGAGCGGUGAAAUGCGUUGAUAUCAUCAGGAACACCGGAGGCGAAGGCGGCUCACUGGGGCUUUUCUGACGCUGAGGAACGAAAGCCAGGGGAGCGAACGGG
rnacentral:rRNA from 1 species